rnacentral:rRNA from 1 species
ACUCCGUACGGGAGGCAGCAGGUAGGGAAUCUUCCACAAUGGGACGAAAGUACUGAUGGAGCAACGCCGCGUGAGUGAAGAAGGGUUUCGGCUCGUAAAAACCUCUGUUGUUAAAAGAAGAACAUAUCUGAGAGUAACUGUUCAGGUAUUGACGGUAUUUAACCAGAAAGCCACGGCUAACUACGUGCCAGCAGCCGCGGUAAUACGUAGGUGGCAAGCGUUGUCCGGAUUUAUUGGGGCGUAAAGCGAGCGCAGGCGGUUUUUAAAGUCUGAUGUGAAAGCCUUCGGCUCAACCGAAGAAGUGCAUCGGAAACUGGGAAACUUGAGUGCAGAAGAGGACAGUGGAACUCCAUGUGGUAGCGGUGAAAUGCGUAGAUAAUAUGGAAGAACACCAGUGGCGAAAGGCGGCUGUCUGGUCUGUAACUGACGCUGAGGCUCGAAAGUAUGGGUAGCAAAC